rnacentral:rRNA from 1 species
UACGAAGGGGGCUAGCGUUGCUCGGAAUCACUGGGCGUAAAGCGCACGUAGGCGGAUCUUUAAGUCAGGGGUGAAAUCCUGGAGCUCAACUCCAGAACUGCCUUUGAUACUGGGGAUCUCGAGUCCGGAAGAGGUGAGUGGAACUCCGAGUGUAGAGGUGAAAUUCGUAGAUAUUCGGAAGAACACCGGUGGCGAAGGCGGCCCGCUGGGCAGUGACUGACGCUGAGGCGCGACAGCGUGGGGAGCAAACAGG